rnacentral:rRNA from 1 species
AUUGAACGCUGGCGGCAGGCCUAACACAUGCAAGUUGAGCGGAGCGGCGGCCGGGUGAGUAAAGCCUAGGAAUCUGCCUGGUAGCGGGGGAUACCGUACGGAAACGGGCGCUAAUACCGCAUACUAUCAGAUGAGCCUAGGUAGGAUCAGCUAGUUGGUGGGGUAAAGGCCUACCAAGGCGACGAUCCGUAACUGGUAUGGGAGGAUGAUCAGUCACACUGUACCUGAUACACUGUCCAGACUCCUCCGGGAGGAAGCAGUGGUGAAGAUUGGCAAAUGGGCGAAAGCCUGAUCCAGCCAUGCCGCGUUUGUGAAGAAGGUCUUCGGAUUGUAAAGCACUUUAAGUUGGGAGGCGUUACCAACAGAAUAAGCACCGGCUAACUUCGUGCCAGCAGCCGCGGUAAUAC